GUUUCCCUCAGGAUAGCUGUAAUGCAUUUAGUUAAGGGGAGUAGAGAUAUGGGUAGAGGUGCAGGGAGCCUUCGGGUUCUCAACUUAUUUCCAAACUUCGAACCCUCCUUGUUAGGCAUUUACCUAACUGGAAAUGCUUAAAUGAAUUAGCGUUACAAGUGGGCUCUGACCGGUAAGCGGUCAUGGCGAAAUGGGAUGAACCAUACGUCUGAAUAAGGUGCCGAAAUGUACUAUCACUGAUACCAUAAAGGGAGUCCAUGUAUUUAGACAGCAGGUCGGUGCCCCUAAAAGCAGGUAUCCGCUAAAGAGUGUGUUAAAACUCACCUGCCGAAUACUAGGGCCCCGAAAAUGAAUGGCGCAUAUAGUACUACCGAUCUCAGACAUCAGUUCUAUUGAACUGAGAGUAGGGGGAUGUGGACAUUUUUGUGAAGGUGCAAUGUGAGUUGGACUGGAAGAAUGUCUAUUACAGAUCCUAAUUGAAGUAGCGAUUAUCCAGGCUUGUAUCCUGGGGGCUGAUGAGGAGUAGGGUUUCUGGACAACUUAAACAGAUCCAGAGUUAGUCGAUCCUAAUCUCAAUAAUGGGAGAAAGGGAGUACAGUUGAUAUUCUGUAACUGACAACAGUUCGCGGCAACGCAUACUAUUUUUCUCCGCCAAUCUUAUACCGUUGGUAGGGAUCUCUUUCCUACAUGACAGUACUAAUACCCAGGGAAACUGGUCAUCAGGCGAACUGCGGCGUUCUGCUGGCAAAACAUAGCUUCGGUUAUGUCAAUGGCUAUUGGAUUGGUCCAUGAAGCGAAAAAUAGUUUACUGUGUCACUCGUACCGAUAACCGCAUCAGGUCUUCUAGGUAAGUAGCCUAUGGCCAUUGAGGCAUGAUAGUUCAGGGAAUUCGGCCAAUUAGAGCUGUAACUUCGGGAUAAAGCUUGGCUCUGAUGAAAAUCAGAACCGAUUGUUACGCGGAGAGCCCAACUGUUUAAUAAAAACGUAGUGUCGCGCUGUGGUAGUAUAGCCAGUGAACGCGACAUGAAUCCUGCUCAGUGCUGUGUCUGUUAAUAUGGUUCAAGCCAACGAAGCACCGGUAAAUAGCUGGGGUAACUAUGACUCUUAUCAAAGUAGCGAAAUACCUCGUCACUUAAUUAGU
rnacentral:ncRNA from 1 species